rnacentral:rRNA from 1 species
AGCUAGGCGGCAGGCUAACACAUGCAAGUCGAGGGGUAGAGGAAGCUUGCUUCCUUGAGACCGGCGCACGGGUGCGUAACGCGUAUGCAAUCUGCCUUGUACUGAGGGAUAGCCCAGAGAAAUUUGGAUUAAUACCUCAUAGCAUUAUGAAAUCGCAUGGUUUUAUAAUUAAAGUUCCAACGGUACAAGAUGAGCAUGCGUCCCAUUAGUUAGUUGGUAAGGUAACGGCUUACCAAGACGAUGAUGGGUAGGGGUCCUGAGAGGGAGAUCCCCCACACUGGUACUGAGACACGGACCAGACUCCUACGGGAGGCAGCAGUGAGGAAUAUUGGUCAAUGGACGCAAGUCUGAACCAGCCAUGCCGCGUGCAGGAUGAAGCAUCUAUGGUGUGUAAACUGCUUUUGUACGGGAAGAAACACUCCUACGUGUAGGAGCUUGACGGUACCGUAAGAAUAAGGAUCGGCUAACUCCGUGCCAGCAGCCGCGGUAAUACGGAGGAUCCAAGCGUUAUCCGGAAUCAUUGGGUUUAAAGGGUCCGUAGGCGGCUUUAUAAGUCAGUGGUGAAAGCCCAUCGCUUAACGAUGGAACGGCCAUUGAUACUGUAGAGCUUGAAUUACUUGGAAGUAACUAGAAUAUGUAGUGUAGCGGUGAAAUGCUUAGAUAUUACAUGGAAUACCAAUUGCGAAGGCAGGUUACUACAAGUGGAUUGACGCUGAUGGACGAAAGCGUGGGGAGCGAACAGGAUUAGAUACCCUGGUAGUCCACGCCGUAAACGAUGGAUACUAGCUGUUCGGAGCAAUCUGAGUGGCUAAGCGAAAGUGAUAAGUAUCCCACCUGGGGAGUACGCACGCAAGUGUGAAACUCAAAUGAAUUGACGGAAGGGCGAAUUCCAGCAC